GCUGGCGUAGCUCAAUCGGUAGAGCAGCUGAUUUGUAAUCAGCCGGUUGAGGGUUCGACUCCCUCCGCUAGCUCCA
rnacentral:tRNA from 1 species